GAUGAAGAACGCAGCGAAAUGCGAUAAGUAAUGUGAAUUGCAGAACUCAGUGAAUCAUCGAGUCUUUGAACGCACAUUGCGCCCCCUGGUAUUCCGGGGGGCAUGCCUGUCCGAGCGUCAUUGCUGCCCUCAAGCCCGGCUUGUGUGUUGGGUCUCGUCCCCCUUCCCGGGGGGACGGGCCCGAAAGGCAGCGGCGGCACCGCGUCCGGUCCUCCAGCGUAUGGGGCUUUGUCACCCGCUCUGUAGGCCCGGCCGGCGCUUGCCGAUCAACCAAAACUUUUUUCCAGGUUGACCUCGGAUCAGGUAGGGAUACCCGCUGAACUUAAGCAUAUCAAUAAGCGGAGGA
rnacentral:misc_RNA from 1 species